UACGAAGGGUGCAAACGUUGCUCGGAAUUAUUGGGCGUAAAGCGCACGUAGGCGGCAUUGCAAGUCGGAUGUGAAAUCCCUCGGCUUAACCAAGGAAGUGCAUCCGAAACUGCUGUGCUUGAGUACUUAAGAGGAUCGCGGAAUUCCCGGUGUAGCAGUGAAAUGCGUAGAUAUCGUGAGGAAUACCAGAGGCGAAGGCGGCUACCUGGACAAUUGCUGACGCUCAGGCACGAAAGCGUGGGGAGCAAAAGGG
rnacentral:rRNA from 1 species